rnacentral:rRNA from 1 species
UACGUAGGGGGCGAGCGUUGUCCGGAUUUAUUGGGCGUAAAGAGCGUGUAGGCGGCCAGGUAGGUCUGGUGUGAAAACUCGAGGCUUAACCUUGAGAUGUCAUCGGAAACCAUUUGGCUAGAGUACAGAAGGGGCAACUGGAAUUCUCGGUGUAGCGGUGAAAUGCGUAGAUAUCGAGAGGAACACCUGCGGCGAAGGCGGGUUGCUGGGCUGAUACUGACGCUGAUGCGCGAAAGCCAGGGGAGCGAACGGG